CGAAUGAGAAGCCACGAAAUUCUUGAGAAUGACGAUAUGCAACACUUGCUGAGACUCUUCAGCAUGGGAGGUGGCCAUGGCUCUGUCAAUGUGUCUGAAGACGGAUAUGGUUUCCCAUCUUUCAUGCCUUCACCAUCUCCUACUUUUGGUUAUGAUGAGGACCCCAAACGUUCUGGAAAAGCUGUUGUAGGUUGGCUGAAAAUUAAGGCUGCAAUGAGAUGGGGAUUCUUUGUGCGGAAGAAGGCAGCUGAGAGGCGGGCACAGAUUGUGGAACUGGAUGAUGAAUAAAAUCUUAGGGCUUUGAGGCUUAACCAUCGACCAUUUGAAGAACUAUUCACAAGGUCGCGGUGAUGCAGGCCCGUCUUUCAUGCCUUCACCACCUCCUACUUUUGGUUAUGAUGAGGACCCCAAACCUUCAGGAAAAGCUGUCGUGGGUUGGCUGAAAAUUAAGGCUGCAAUGAGAUGGGGAUUCUUUGUGCGGAAAAAGGCAGCUGAGAGGCGGGCACAGAUUGUGGAACUGGAUGAUGAAUAAAAUCUUAGGGCUUUGAGGCUUAACCAUCGACCAUUUGAAGAACUAUUCACAAGGUCGCGGUGAUGCAGGCCCUGAGUAAUUAGCUAUACAGGAGUUUAUUUCUGAGGGAUUAGUGAAUUCAAUUGUUCUUUCUCUUUGCGUCAAAUAGUUUUUCAUGUACAGAAGCCUGUACAGUAAUUUCACUUUUAUUGCUCUCAUUGUUAACUCCAUUUGUGCUCACUCUCUUUAUCUGUUUCAAAAUUGUAAUGUAUUAGUCUGCAGACCCAAAGGGAAAUAUACUUUCAAGAACUCAUUGCCCUCCUGUGUGUUGAAUUCUAUAGGAACUUUAAUGAUAAACAGGUUGCUGAUCGGCUUUUGCAAUUUGAGCCUUCAGAUAAAGC
rnacentral:lncRNA from 1 species